CUCGGUACGCGCGGAUCUUCCAGAGAUUAGAGUUUGAUCCUGGCUCAGAAUCAACGCUGGCGGCGCGCUUAACACAUGCAAGUCGAACGAGAAAGCGGGGGCAACCUCGUGAGUAAAGUGGCGUACGGGUGAGUAACACGUGGGUAAUCUACCUCUUAGUGGGGAAUAACGCUGGGAAACCGGCGCUAAUACCGCAUAAGCUCGAGAGAGGAAAGCAGCAAUGCGCUGAGAGAGGAGCCCGCGGUCGAUUAGCUAGUUGGUGAGGUAAGAGCUCACCAAGGCAAAGAUCGAUAGCCGGCCUGAGAGGGCACACGGCCACACUGGCACUGAAACACGGGCCAGACUCCUACGGGAGGCAGCAGUGGGGAAUCUUGCACAAUGGGGGCAACCCUGAUGCAGCGACGCCGCGUGAACGAUGAAGCCCUUCGGGGUGUAAAGUUCUUUCGGCAGGGACGAUAAUGACGGUACCUGCAGAAGCAGCUGCGGCUAACUACGUGCCAGCAGCCGCGGUAAUACGUAGGCAGCGAGCGUUGUUCGGAGUUACUGGGCGUAAAGGGUGUGUAGGCGGUUCUUUAAGUUUGGUGUGAAAUCUCCCGGCUCAACCGGGAGG
rnacentral:rRNA from 1 species